CAUGCCAUCACCAGCUCAGGCAGUGC
rnacentral:piRNA from 1 species